rnacentral:rRNA from 1 species
UGAGGGAUAUUGGGCAAUGGGGGAAACCCUGACCCAGCGACGCCGCGUGAGGGAAGACGGUCUUCGGAUUGUAAACCUCUGUCUUUGGGGACGAAAAAGGACGGUACCCAAGGAGGAAGCUCCGGCUAACUACGUGCCAGCAGCCGCGGUAAUACGUAGGGAGCGAGCGUUGUCCGGAAUUACUGGGUGUAAAGGGAGCGUAGGCGGGAUUGCAAGUUGGAUGUGAAAACUGCGGGCUCAACCCGGAGAGUGCAUUCAAAACUGCGAUUCUUGAGUGAAGUAGAGGCAAGCGGAAUUCCUAGUGUAGCGGUGAAAUGCGUAGAUAUUAGGAGGAACACCAGUGGCGAAGGCGGCUUGCUGGGGCUUUUACUGACGCUGAGGCUCGAAAGUGUGGGGAGCAAACAGGAUUAGAUACC